rnacentral:rRNA from 1 species
GAUGAACGCUGGCGGCGUGCCUAAUACAUGCAAGUCGAGCGAACAGACGAGGAGCUUGCUCCUCUGACGUUAGCGGCGGACGGGUGAGUAACACGUGGAUAACCUACCUAUAAGACUGGGAUAACUUCGGGAAACCGGAGCUAAUACCGGAUAACAUGUUGAACCGCAUGGUUCAACAGUGAAAGACGGUCUUGCUGUCACUUAUAGAUGGAUCCGCGCCGCAUUAGCUAGUUGGUAAGGUAACGGCUUACCAAGGCAACGAUGCGUAGCCGACCUGAGAGGGUGAUCGGCCACACUGGAACUGAGACACGGUCCAGACUCCUACGGGAGGCAGCAGUAGGAAAUCUUCCGCAAUGGGCGAAAGCCUGACGGAGCAACGCCGCGUGAGUGAAGAAGGUCUUCGGAUCGUAAAACUCUGUUAUUAGGGAAGAACAAAUGUGUAAGUAACUAUGCACGUCUUGACGGUACCUAAUCAGGAAGCCACGGCUAACUACGUG